rnacentral:rRNA from 1 species
UACAGAGGUGGCAAGCGUUGUUCGGAAUGAUUGGGCGUAAAGGGUCCGCAGGUGGCAGUGUAAGUCUGCUGUCAAAGAAUGAGGCUUAACCUCAUCAAGGCAGUGGAAACUACACAGCUAGAGUACGGUCGGGGUAGAAGGAAUUCCUGGUGUAGCGGUGAAAUGCGUAGAUAUCUGGAAGAACACCAGUGGCGAAGGCGCUCUACUGGGCCGUAACUGACACUGAGGGACGAAAGCUAGGGGAGCGAAAGGG